AUUGAACGCUGGCGGCAUGCUUUACACAUGCAAGUCGAACGGUAACAGGCCGCAAGGUGCUGACGAGUGGCGAACGGGUGAGUAAUGCAUCGGAACGUGCCCAGUCGUGGGGGAUAACGCAGCGAAAGCUGUGCUAAUACCGCAUACGAUCUGUGGAUGAAAGCGGGGGACCGUAAGGCCUCGCGCGAUUGGAGCGGCCGAUGUCAGAUUAGGUAGUUGGUGGGGUAAAGGCUCACCAAGCCGACGAUCUGUAGCUGGUCUGAGAGGACGACCAGCCACACUGGGACUGAGACACGGCCCAGACUCCUACGGGAGGCAGCAGUGGGGAAUUUUGGACAAUGGGCGCAAGCCUGAUCCAGCAAUGCCGCGUGCAGGAAGAAGGCCUUCGGGUUGUAAACUGCUUUUGUACGGAGCGAAAAGGCUCUCUCUAAUACAGGGGGUUCAUGACGGUACCGUAAGAAUAAGCACCGGCUAACUACGUGCCAGCAGCCGCCGUAAGAC
rnacentral:rRNA from 1 species